rnacentral:rRNA from 1 species
CAAGCGGAGGAGCAUGUGGUUAAUUCGAUGAUACGCGAGGAACUUACCUGGGCUCGAACGUAAGAUGACUGUAGGUGAAAGCUUACAUCUCUUCGGAGCAUUUUACGAGGUGCUGCAUGGUUGUCGUCAGCUCGUGCCGUGAGGUGUCGGGUUAAGUCCCAUAACGAGCGCAACCCCUACCUUUAGUUGCCAUCAGGUAAUGCUGGGGACUCUAAAGGAACUGCCUACGCAAGUAGUGAGGAAGGCGGGGAUGACGUCAAAUCAGCACGGCCCUUACGUCCAGGGCUACACACGUGCUACAAUGGCCGAUACAGAGGGCAGCUACCUGGUGACAGGAUGCAAAUCUCCAAAGUCGGUCUCAGUUCGGAUCGGAGUCUGCAACCCGACUCCGUGAAGCUGGAUUCGCUAGUAAUCGCGCAUCAGCCACGGCGCGGUGAAUACGUUCCCGGGCCUU